GUUUUUAAAUUUUACUUUUUAUUACUUGUAAUGUACAUCAACAUUUUGACAAGACAAAAAAAAAACGUAUUGAAGAAUCCAUUAUUGUUGCACAAGUUAUCAUGAAGUGACACCAAGCACAGAAUAUGUACAUGUGUUAUUUAUACACAAGUUCUCUCUGAAGUAUGCUAUGUAACUCAACAUCUUUUAUACACAACUGUACAAUGUAAUGAUCUGGAUCUUUUUUUCCCCAUUAAUAGACACUAGAGCAGGAGUCCAUGGCUUCCAGGAGUGUAAAUUUACUGUUAAAUUGUGACCAAAGCAACAUAAACUUUUGAAUUAACUAUAAGUAGAUCUACAUUGAAACUUAUUUAUGUAACUGUAGUUGUACAAUUUGGAUAGGUCAGUAUGUAAUUAUCUUAGAAGGUAACGACCAUUUGAUAUAAAUUAGUUUAAUUUGAUUGCAGGAGACAAAUUUCAAGUAGACCUGUAAUCUUGUCCUGCAAGAAAACAUAAGGAGGGAAGUCUAGGUUUCUAAUAUUAAAAAAAAAAUCUACUUACAAACUCAAUAUGUACCAAUUGUAAUUUUAAACUG